rnacentral:rRNA from 1 species
GAUGAACGAUGGCGGCGUGCCUAAUACAUGCAAGUCGAGCGAACGGACGAGAAGCUUGCUUCUCUGAUGUUAGCGGCGGACGGGUGAGUAACACGUGGAUAACCUACCUAUAAGACUGGGAUAACUUCGGGAAACCGGAGCUAAUACCGGAUAAUAUUUUGAACCGCAUGGUUCAAAAGUGAAAGACGGUCUUGCUGUCACUUAUAGAUGGAUCCGCGCUGCAUUAGCUAGUUGGUAAGGUACGGCUUACCAAGGCAACGAUGCAUAGCCGACCUGAGAGGGUGAUCGGCCACACUGGAACUGAGACACGGUCCAGACUCCUACGGGAGGCAGCAGUAGGGAAUCUUCCGCAAUGGGCGAAAGCCUGACGGAGCAACGCCGCGUGAGUGAUGAAGGUCUUCGGAUCGUAAAACUCUGUUAUUAGGGAAGAACAUAUGUGUAAGUAACUGUGCACAUCUUGACGGUACCUAAUCAGAAAGCCACGGCUAACUACGUG